CACCUUACCAUGUUGGGAGAAUACCUCAUACCUGUGGCUCCUCUUUUCCCACGAUAUUUUCAGCUUUCCAAGGUUCUGGUUGGUGGCCUUCCACCCCAUUAAAGGUCACCAUCCAUCAAUAUCCGUACUUUUUAAGCUCCAUGGUGAAAAUGAAUCCUCUUCUGGGGAAUUCUUAGCCGCCACCCAAAAAUCUUACCAACGGACAUCGGAGUAAUAUUUGCUGCUACAACUAGGCCCGACAUAGCUUUUGUAAUGCCAUUGCUAAUAGCACUACAAGUGGAGUGAACUAUCUGGGAAAGAUUUUAACUUUUUUGGGAUUUCUAUUUGAGGCAAGUCUCUAGCUUUCUUGAAUCACUGUUUGAGCUUAGCAUGUGAUUGUGUGAUCUGAAGUUCUGGGGAACUCGGGUGAACUCUUGAAGAUGCAUUGAGUACUUAAAACAAUGAGAGCAUUUCGGGAUCACAUGGAGAAGUUGGAGGAGCAAAAAGCUGCAAAUGAUGCUGCAGCGAGAGCAGAAGCAAAAAGGAAAGAGUGUGAUAUUUUCCCUGAACCACCACCAGCAGUGCAUGCAUCUUCCAGUGAGGGAUUUCCCCACUAUGAUGGAGAAGAGAUCCCGGGUGGUGGUAGUUUGAGUACAUAUGGAAUGUCACGGGCAGAUCCUACGCCCCCUUGCACAAGUUUUUUGUUGAAUAACAAUUCAGAUGAAGAGUUGAGAAUGAGAAAUAACAGAAUUUCCAACACAGAGUCAGUUAGCUGCUCUAACACCCAUGAACAAAUGAAUGAUCGGCAGCAAAUCCAGUGGAACAAGUUUUAUAAUUUGGCUGGUGGGUCUAGUAGUAGUUAUUGUAAUCAAGUUCUGAUGUCCACAGACAAGGGUUUGGUAACAUCUAUGCCCAAAGAAUCAUUGCCAACAACGGCUCCAGACCCUGAUGAGAUGAAACCUCCACCCAUUAAGCAUAACAUUGAAUGCUCUGGUGCCUUGUCUGCCUAUUUAAACUGUGAUGCUAAUGGCAUCAGCCCAAAUAAUGGACUGUUCGGAGAUAAUCGGUCAAAAAUAUUAUCUACAUCUAGUUUUUCUCAGUUUUUUGCCAGGAAAUCUUUGAAAGGCAAGGAUGUGCUGUCUAAACGCCCUGAACCUUCUGCUGAAUUUCCUUCUGCCAUAGUCAUGCAGGAAAAGAACAACCCAGCUUCUUUAAGCAGGACAGCUACUGAUUUCUUGUUGAAUCAAGGGGCUACUUUUCAAGCUCCAUUACAUUGUCAUGAUGGUGCAGGCCCUAAACUAUCACAAAAUGAAAUUAACUUAAGAGAAUGGUUAUGCUCUAGGGGUUCCGAGAUAAAUAAAGAUCACAGAUUGCACCUAUUCCGGAAAGUUGUGCAGUUGGUGGAUAUUGCUCACUCCCAAGGGAAUGUCUUUCUUGAUUUACGGCCUUCCUGUCUCAUUUUACAUUCAUAUCAUGAUGUUAAAUAUAUUGGUUCAACAGUCCAGAUAGGAUGUAUGGGUCUGGGAAACCAGAACAUGAUGAGGAAAAGACCACCAGAGCUGGAUAAGCACAUCAGCAAUAGUAGGGGUACAAAGCAGCAAAAACUCCAUGAGGUACAGUAUAAUAGUGAAAGGAAUUAUUCAUGUGGUGGAGGUUCAUCUAUUGAGGCAGAUCGUCUAUUGGAGUCUGACUUUGUUCGGUUGGAAAAGAGGUGGUAUACUUCCCCAGAGGAGCUGGAUGACAGAGUCCUUGCAUCAUCAAAUAUUUACAGUCUUGGGGUGCUUUUGUUUGAGUUGCUGUGCCAUUUUGAAUCACCAAAGGUGCAUUCCGCAGCAAUGCUGGAUUUACACCAUCGGGUUCUGCCUUCACAUUUUCUCUGUGAAAAUCCAAAGGAAGCUGGAUUUUGCUUUUGGCUACUUCAUCCUGAAUCAUCUGCUCGUCCAAAAGCAAGGGAAAUCUUACAGUCUGAAUCAAUUUCUGGAUCCAAAGAGAUACACCAAAGAAAUAAUGAGCCAUUAGCUGCUGAGAAGGAAGAUGACCCCGAAUCAGAACUCUUACUUUAUUUUCUAGUUUCGUUGAAAGAACAAAAGGAUAGCCAGAAAUCCAAGUUGUUACAAAGCAUAGAAUGUUUAGAAGCUGAUAUCAAGGAGGUUGAAAAAAGUGACACUUUGAGAACUUCAUAUUGGAGGCACCAAGGCAACCUGGAUGCACAGCAUAGGCCCCAUUGUAAAGAUAUGAAAUCUUCUUUUCUUUCCAAAUCAUUCUCUAUAAAGACUUUUCUCGAGGAGACGGUGAUGAAAAAUAUCAGUCAGUUUGAAAAUGCUUACUUCUGCAUGAGAUCACAAUUCCAACUUACUGAAACUGAUCUCAAGGGAAGACCAGACAGGGACUUACUGAGAAGUCGUGAGAAGUUGUCUCGUGUUCAGACUAACAAUGACGAGCCCAGCAUUGAGAGAAACAAUGUAAAUCGAGUUGGGGCUUUCUUUGAAGGUAUUUGCAAGUUUGCUCGAUAUAGCAAGUUUGAGGAGUGUGGGACAUUAAGAAGUGGUGAUCUUUUAAAUUCUACAAAUGUCAUUUGCUCCCUAAGUUUUGACCGUGAAGAGGAAUAUAUAGCAGCAGCCGGGGUCUCAAAGAAAGUCAAAAUUUUUGAGUUUGAUUCACUUUUGAAUGAAUCCAUGGAUAUUCAGUAUCCUGUGAUUGAGAUGUCAAACAGAUCUAAGCUUAGCUGUGUUUGUUGGAACAACUACAUCAAAAACUACUUGGCUUCAUCAGACUAUGAUGGUGUGGUGAAGAUGUGGGAUGCAAGCACGGGUCAAGGAUUUUCACAUUAUAUGGAGCACCAGAAGAGAACUUGGUCUGUUGACUUCUCUUUAGUUGAUCCAACCAAAUUUGUCAGUGGGAGUGAUGAUUGUUCUGUAAAACUGUGGAACAUUAAUGAGAGGAAUUCUGUGGCUACAAUCUGGAGUCCUGCCAAUGUAUGCUGUGUGCAGUUUUCUGCUUACUCCACACAUCUAUUGGCUUUCGGGUCUGCUGAUUACAAGAUCUAUUGCUACGAUCUUCGACAUACAAGGAUUCCUUGGUGCACAUUAGUUGGCCAUGGAAAAGCUGUUAGCUAUGUGAAAUUUUUAGAUUCCGAAACCCUUGUUUCUGCAUCCACUGAUAAUACACUAAAGCAAUGGGACCUCAAUAAGACCAGCUUGGAAGGAUUCUCUGAUAAAGCUUGCUCCUUUACCUUUAGUGGACAUUCCAAUGAGAAGAAUUUUGUAGGAUUAUCUGUUCUUGAUGGAUACAUAGCAUGUGGUUCAGAAUCUAAUGAAGUAUAUGCUUACUAUAGAUCUCUGCCAAUGCCAAUUACUUCUUAUAAAUUUGAAUCUAUUGACCCUAUCUCUGGCGAUGAGAUCAUUGAUAAUAGCGGACAGUUUGUUUCAAGUGUUUGCUGGAGAAGGAAAUCUAAUAUGGUCGUUGCUGCCAACUCAACUGGAUGUAUUAAGCUGUUGCGUUGGUCUAAUUAAACGACCAUUUAACUUACAUUGUUUUCAUCAAUUGUUCCCUCCCUGGGUUUUUACUCUAGCAGAGUUGCAUAAACUAAGGUUGCACAAGUUAAGCUUUCGACAAGGAUCCAGGACUUGUGCACAGACCGCUUCAUUGUCGUCUCUUGUGUAAAAUGCUCCUUAAGACCAGGUUGGAGUUUUUCCUAGAUGUUUUUACUGUGAAGCUGGAAGAGAUGUAAGUGAUAUGUGAAGAAAUGCAGCCAUUUUCUGAUAACAACAGGGAAAAAAAUAAAGAAUGAUUUACAAGUCAAGAUUAUUUUUGUAGUUAAGAUAAAACUGAAAGUCUUUGGAGCUUUGCUAGUGUAUAGUAGUUUGUUUUUCAGAUGCUCUAUAGACACUACUUGGUAAAUAAUUUUAAUUUUAGAGGUCUAUACAACAACAUGAUAGAACACGGGCGCAAUGCUGACUUGGAAUUUCUACUUUGGUCCAUUUCUUAGUCUUCA